GUUGGUUUACACUAAAGCAAACAUAUUAUCUUUACAUGUGUUAUGUUUAGAAAACAACUAGGUUUCUUUCUUCUUUUUUCCUCCUCCUUCCAUGUCCAAGGAGCAACUGCAGUGACUCUGCUGCCAGCAGCAGCCUGUGUGCUGUCAAUUCCUGUCCAUUUCACCUCAGGUCACUAACUGGCUUGAAAAAAAGGAAAAAUGAAGGGGGGAAGAAACAAGGUGGGGGAAUAAUAAUUUCCAGUCCCUGUGACCACCCUUGUUUCACCUCUUCUGCCUUGACAACACACCUAUGUAAGUGAUUCUAUAUGCCAGGGCCCUCAUGCAAAAGCAAUUUGUUAUCCCAAGCCUGAUCUCAGAGUGCAGUUCACCCCAGGCCACCUCAGCAUUUUGUGCCACUAGUUUUUGAACACACCAGAUGUAACCCCUACACACUAUUGUCUUAGAAACAGAAUCCUGUAAUAAAUGAAACAAACAGCAACUGAGGGAAACAAUUGAGAGAAAAUCACCAAUUCUUCAAGCCACUAAAGCGGUUUAUUAGCUUUCCUUCACAAAUUUUGUCUUUCAGAAGGCUAUAGGCUAAAUCAACAUCCACUUUGAAAAAUAUAGUUACAUAUUCUAAUUCGGAAGCAUUAUCUUCUGGAUAACUUAAACAAUUCAGUUUAUUAGCGUUCCUGUCUCUUCUCUUAUUGUGACACACAGUUAAGGCCAAAUGAAAUGCAUUUAUCUGUGCUGAUUAAAUAUUACGGAUUGAUAGCUUAAGAGAAAUUGACGUAUUUUAAAACAAAAGAAUGGUAUUAGUCAUCCUGAGAAUAAGAUUUAAUAAAUUGAAUUCAGCCUGUGCUGAAAAGCACUGGAUGCAGAAUAUGUCCUGUUAGAACUAAAUCCUUACAGAUGGUGUCCAAUGCAUAAGAAUUAGACAAGUUCUAAUUAUAAAAGGUAGACAAUCACAGACACCAGUUUAGUCUAAAACAGAACAUCUGUUACAAUUAUAACUAUAUUUAAAUUAGUAUAAACCAUGGGCAAUCCAGCAGGUUUAGGGGGGCUCAUUCUGUUCUUCAAGUCACUUGCACAAAUACAAAAUUCUAAUCAUACAGUAGCUGAGCCAUAAAUACACUACGUAUUUUGAAAAAUUUUUUCAGUAUUACUGAAAAUUUUAGCACUGAAAUAAAGAAAGUAUUUUAAGUGGAUUCAACAAUAAGGCAAUGAUUGACAUGGCAGGAGCAGAGUCAGUCUAAUAUGGACACUUUUUAGAUUUUAUUGUUCAUUUUUUUCAGCGAUACACUUCAAUUUCUCGCUUAACAGCACUGUGUUUGAAUAUGCAGCAGAUGAAAAUUCAAUGAUUAAAUAUGUUCUUUCUCUCUUUUCUAACUGAUGCAGUUUAAAAAAACCCCACAAAACCUCAUUAAAAAUAUAUAUUUGUAGCCUGUUGAAAUUAUGACUGACAGAAGCUCCACAGAAUGUUAUCCUAAGUCCAUGAAGGAGAUGGAGUAAUGAGCAGAACCAGAAGAAAAGGGUAACUGCAAUUUGUUGCAUGACACUUAUGCCAGCAGAACAGUAAAUGCAUGAUUACCAAUUUGCUCAGAGAUGCUGGUAAUUUUGACUUGUUGACAUAAAGUAAGUAUUUGGGUUUAGGUAUAAAGUAAAUAAGGAAUGGAAAUACUGAGUUAAAACUGUUAUACUUAGUACAUCUCAAUGCUACACUUUUUAUGAAGUCCUCCAUUUAUGAUCGGUCCCUCGUGUAAUGCAACUCUUCUGGGCCAGCCAGAAUCUAUCUCAUAUUUAGAAGCUUUAUUCCUUUUUGGUGUGAUUUUCUUUGACUAUGUGUCUAACAUUUAGGGUGAUCAUAUGAAUAUGCAAAAGGGCACCUAUUAUUCCUGUGGAUCUUUCUUGUUAUGCAGAAAGCUAUAAAGGAGUGACAGGUACUAUUAACACAAGUUCUAUUUAUAUCAAGGGAAAUAAUUGAAUUGAAAAUAUGUAUCAAAUAUAGAUGAAGGUUCAUGCCCAUUAUUGGCAAUUUUUGUACUUUUUUACCGAGCUAUGGAUGAUUUAAUCAACCUGGCAAAAUUCCCAUGAGAGAAGCAAAGGAAUUCCCAAGAAGCAUAGAUUUACCAUUGCAGAUCUUGUGUCAUCCUGCAGCUGAGGGAAGCAGGGGAAGUAGGGGAAAAAUCCUAAGUAGGAUGUAAUUUGGGCUCUUGGUUCUGUGGCUAAUAUGGCAUAUGCAUCAUAAAACCCCUCAGCUCCAAUAUUUACUUGCAUGUGUGUCCUUCUCAGAGUAGUCUCACAGCUAGAGGAAUGUUGUGGUGUCUUUUCAAUAACCUUUCAGAGUUUAAUAUAAACUUCUUAGUUCUAAUCAAGAUUGGGAAUAUACUAUGCAACAAAAAUGAUAGCCAAAUGAUAUACAUAAAAUUUUAAUCAUGUAUGAUAUAGAAGAAAAAAUGUGGAUUUUACUCUGACAAUGUUACAUGCAAUAUUGCAUUAUAAAUUAAUAAUGGUCACUACUGAAAAUGAUAAUACGACUUUCUCAGAUAUUGAAAAGGAAAUGUAGUUUACAGGACAGGAGUACUUUUGUAGAAUAAAAAAUUCAUUCACAGACACAAUUGCCAAUCUGGCCAAGACUGAUGAUCAGGCCACAUUUGAUAUUCUAGCAACUACGUUUCCCUUAUUUUGCAGUAUUUUUCUUGGUCUCAUGACACGGUUUGCUAUUUACUGUUUAUUUGUUUAAAAAAUUAAUAAUAAACAUAUCUUACUAAUUGCACUGUUUUGUUUACUUUAGCAUAUUGAUAUAUAAAAAUCAGUUAUGGCUUUGUUAUCAAACCCACUCAAUAAAGGACUUCAUCUCAUAUUGUACUCUUUCUAUGUUAUUAGUUUAUUUUGAAGAAAUGUUUUUCAAAUUAAAGAUUUAAUUUUUUUUUUUUUCAGGAAGAUUUUGUGAGACAAGGAAGAAGGAACACUGUUAACUACUUUUUUCCCAUAUUGGCAACUAGUGAUCCAAGUAGUUGCCUGGGUUUUGAUCAUCAGAAGCAAAGAGUUAUCAUCUUGCUAUACAUAUAUGAUGGUAGCUCACUUGAGUAAUUUCUUUGAUGAUUGAUAUCUGUGGUUAAAGUAGGAUAAGAAAGCUUUUUAAUCAUUAAGUUACAUUACUUAACAGCAACAAGCUGUUCUUUAGGUAUUUAAUUACAGCUUUGGUGAAAGCAAACUACAUAGAAGUUAAGAAUUUCUGCUGGGAUGGUUUUAAUUCUGUUUAAUUCUUGAGUAUGUAUAUUUUUAUAUAAUUUUUUUCUGUUCAGCUAGGUGCUGUUUUUCUUUUAGGACAGACUUCAGUAUUCCAACUCUAUUCUCAGUAAAUAAUGACAUAUAAUGAUGAAAAUCACAUGGAAAAUGCAGAUAUCAGAAUUUUUUAGCCUAGCAAAAGAGAAAAAUCUCCUAAAAAGAUGAGAAUCCGUGCACUAAAAACUGGAGGGAAAGCAAUCACUUUCCAUAGCUUUAUCUAUGUCUGACCCUGUAGAAGCUCUCAGAGAAGCAGCAUAGAAGUACUGGGCAUUCCUCCUGUAUACAAGGAUGUUGGCGUCUGUUGAGAAUUUAUAAGAACUGUGCCUUUUUUCCUCAUGGACCUCCAGAAUGAAUGGAGCAGACCAGGGGCCACACUUCCCUUCCAGGAUAUCUAGUCCCAAGAUGAUUUCCUAGAAACUACAGGAAGCAAAGUUCUUAUUGAACUCAACCAGACUUACUGUGUCAAAUUGGUAAACCAUACUAUUUGUGAUUCUGUGUUCAUGAAAAUUCCUAUUGAACUUGAUCACACUUACAGUGUUUAAGCAGUAAACCAUAUUAUUUGUGAAUCUGUUCAUGAAAGUUCUUAUCGACCUUGACCAAAUUCUGGUGUUGAAGUGGUAAACCACACAAUUUGUGAAUCUGUGAUUGAGAAUGAGACCCAUACUACUGAUGCAUCUGGGAUUUUAGUGAAUGCACUGGGCUUAAAGUGCUGAAUUGGUUAUAAGCAGAAAUAAAGCCUAGCUGCACCCAGCCCCUCUGAUCUCUGAGGACUAGCUGGAAAGCAAAAGGUUUUAUUUUCUACAAAAUUUCUACACUCUUAUGCAGCACACUUCUCAGAAAAUCAGUAAAAUCUUUCAUUUUAUUUUGUUUAGACUAUAAAUAAAUAUGUAGAUUUAUGAUGAACUAAGGAAAAAUUGUCAUGCAGUGUUUUCCAAUUGAUCAACCUACAAAAUCUUUCACACUGUACUAUUACUCACGGGGCCUUCUAGCAAAAAGGAACUUUGUAAAUUGUAUAUUACCAGGGGCUGGGAAAGAUUAGGAGCUCAGAAGUUUAUCCUGGAAAUUAAGAAUGUUAAAGCCUGGGUGGCGGUUGUAGCUAUUGUUAAUAUUUCUUUCAAAUGACAGGCAAUAAAGCAUAGUAUUGUUAGUUCAAGUUUCAAGGCCAGCUGCAAUCAGCAGUGAGAGGAACAAGUGUGAAACAAAACUGAGGGGAAGAAAAGCGGCUGGGCUUCCACCAGUGUUACUGUUACAACAUCCUAUGCUAUCCUAGAUUGAAAAGACAGAUAAAACUAAAAACAGUACAUGUCCAGCCUCCUCAGAGUGUGCUUUGGAUUAGGCUCCAGAGAUACCAAUUAUGAAGGAAAAAAGUUAAGACACAAAAUGAGAAUGGCAGAAGCAAAUAUGUUUAGUGGUCAGGCACUGAAAUGAUACUCAUUGCUCUGGUGACGCAUGAGAGAGCUGAGCUCUCCUUCAGAGCUAGAUGUUCACACACUACCUUUCAAAAUCUGGAGUUAGGUUCCCCUCAAAGAAGGACAAUGGAGAGUCUCCCUUUUAUCUAACAGCUCAAUGGUUCUGAGAUAGAAGAGAUGAAUUUUAUUUCCUGCUCUGCAUGAGGGGUGUUGAAUAGGUACAGAUUUGCAGUGGAUGACCUAACCCCAAACUAUAGCACAUUCGGAUUUGAGAGUACUCUCAUCCCUUUUUGUUGAAGCAGAAUUAUGCAGAACUACACAGGUAAAGCAAAGUAUGGAUUUUGUAGCCACAUUGCAAGAAGACAGGGAUUGGUACCCGCAUUUCAGUUCCUGCUUCUUUCAGUGUUACUUACUCUGCGGAUUGAGCAUUCAAACAUCGUAUUACACGCUGUCUGAAGAUCCUCAGGUUUCAUACUUGUUCUUUCAUAUCUUAGUUGCAUGACUAAGAACCCUCCUAGUCGUCAGCAUCUCCUCCCCUGUAUCUUGUGAUACCACCUGCUGCUCUUACACAAUCCUACUGUGUAUCCUACAACAGUUACCCGUGGGUUCUCUGAAGAACAUGCUGUGGAGUCAUGGCAAUUGGAGUUAAAUUAUCUCAGUGUACAAUUUAAAAGAAAGAAGUAAAGACAUUUUUCUGUCGCCUUGCACUUUGAAAACAAACUUAACUCAAGCCAGACUGAGAUAAAACAAACAAUCAAUAAAAAAAAAAUAGGACACAGUUACAAAUGUGUAUAAGAUAAAAAUAAUAAUAAAAAAGAGAAAUAAAAUAAGACAAAAAUAAACAAAGAGGAACAAUAUAAACUUACAUUUGCUCUACUGA